rnacentral:rRNA from 1 species
AAAGGAAUUGACGGGGGCCCGCACAAGCAGUGGAGUAUGUGGUUUAAUUCGAAGCAACGCGAAGAACCUUACCAGGUCUUGACAUCCCGUGCAUAGUGUAGAGAUACAUGAAGUUCUUCGGAACACGGAGACAGGUGGUGCAUGGUUGUCGUCAGCUCGUGUCGUGAGAUGUUGGGUUAAGUCCCUCAACGAGCGCAACCCUUACUGAUAGUUACUACGAAAGAGGACUCUAUCGGGACCGCCGUUGACAAAACGGAGGAAGGCGGGGAUGACGUCAAAUCAUCAUGCCCUUUAUGACCUGGGCUACACACGUACUACAAUGGCCGUUAACAAAGGGGACCGAAACCGCGAGGUGGAGGAAAUCCGUUAAAAACGGUCUCAGUUCGGAUUGCAGGCUGAAACUCGCCUGCAUGAAGUUGGAAUUGCUAGUAAUCGCGGAUCAGCAUGCCGCGGUGAAUACGUUCCCGGGCCUUGUACACACCGCCCGU